rnacentral:rRNA from 1 species
CCUACGGGAGGCAGCAGUGAGGAAUAUUGGUCAAUGGACGCAAGUCUGAACCAGCCAUGCCGCGUGCAGGAAGACGGCUCUAUGAGUUGUAAACUGCUUUUGUACGAGGGUAAACGCAGAUACGCGUAUCUGUCUGAAGGUAUCGUACGAAUAAGGAUCGGCUAACUCCGUGCCAGCAGCCGCGGUAAUACGGAGGAUUCAAGCGUUAUCCGGAUUUAUUGGGUUUAAAGGGUGCGUAGGCGGUCGGAUAAGUUAGAGGUGAAAUCCCGAGGCUCAACUUCGGAAUUGCCUCUGAUACUGUUCGGCGAGAGAGUAGUUGCGGUAGGCGGAAUGUAUGGUGUAGCGGUGAAAUGCUUAGAGAUCAUACAGAACACCGAUUGCGAAGGCAGCUUACCAAGCUACUUCUGACGUUGAGGCACGAAAGCGUGGGGAGCAAACAGGAUUAGAUACCCCAGUAGUC